UGGGGAAUAUUGCGCAAUGGGGGAAACCCUGACGCAGCGACGCCGCGUGCGGGAAGGAGGCCUUCGGGUCGUAAACCGCUUUCAGCAGGGAAGAAGCCUGACGGUACCUGCAGAAGAAGUCCCGGCUAACUACGUGCCAGCAUCCGCGGUUAUACGUAGGGGGCGAGCGGUAUCCGGACUCAUUGGGCGUAAAGCGCGCGCAAGCGGCCCGCCAAGCGGCCUCGGCGAAGCCGGGGGGUCAACCCCCGGGAGCGGCCCGAUCUGGCGGGCUCGAGUGGGGCAGAGGAGGAUGGAAUUCCCGGUGUAGCGGUGGAAUGCGCAGGUAUCGGGGGGAACACCGACGGCGGAGGGAGCCCUCUGGGCCAUCAAUGACGCUGAGGCGCGAAAGCUGGGGGAGCGAACAGG
rnacentral:rRNA from 1 species